UUUUGAGCAAGACAGAUUGGACGGGCGGGGCCGGGAUUGGUAUUCGUCCAGACGGUUUGCUGCGGCAGCUACUGCUGCUGCAAAGGCCGUUGCAGGCGCGGCCACCUCUGCCCGCCUGGCUGGAGAGCGCGGGCGAACUGAGCUCCGCGCACCGCUGCCUGGAAUGUCCGACUCGUCUCUGCGGUGCUGUGAGUUUCUGAGAGGCUGCUGGCGGUCUCUGGGCAUUCUUUCUGGUGACCGCAACAACGUGCAACUGUGGAUGCUGCUGUGGGGUCAGGGAGGCUUCCUGGAGGAGGAGUAUCUGGACAAGGGAGAAGGAAAGGACCAGCAAGAGGGGGCCACAGGAAAGAAGGAAACAGAAGAGCUGGGGCCUUGUUGGGGCUGAAGUGUUCCCAGUUGCAACAAUGAUGUCACAAUCCCAUAGAAGCACCUUUGUUUCUUCAGUGUUUGCCGUGUUCACACCAGCCUGCCUCUGCCGGCCUCUCCCACACACCCCACCUCGCUCUCCCAGAGCCCAGACCAUGCCACUUGCUCACUAGCUUCUCACAGGAAGGCCAGGGCGUGGAUGUGAUGCCGACAGGCAGUCAGUGAACAGAGAGUGGGGUUGCGGCAGCACCACGGGGGUCGAAUGCGGGCUACCUUCUGCCCUGUCACCUUGGGCAGGUUACCUUCCUGCACCAGGCCUUGAUUUUCUCAUCAGUGAAAGGAAAGGGCUAGAGAAAUUAUUUCAUUAUUUCUCUAACGGUAUCCUUUGUGCCCCAAGUCCCCUAGUAUUUGUUGAACUAAGUGAACCAAAUAACUUCUAUUGAACUAAGACUCAGGUCUCUAUCUCUGACUUGAAUUGAAAAUGCAAAUAACAGGCGAUAAGGAGGAGCUGUGAAGCUUGAAUGGGUUUAUCAGAUUUCCUCUUUCCAGUGACCCAGAUACAGGCCUGGGGUGGGUGGGGCAGGUGCUGAGAGCUGGCAACUUCCCUGCUCAGAACCUGUCAGCCUCAAACACUCAAGGACGAGCUACCAUCUACCUGCACGGAGCUGGGGACCCCCAGGGAUGUCAGAGAUGAACCAGAGCACGUUCCAGAGGCCGGGGUGUCAUCCUGGCCUCGAGUUCUGAAAGCUCUCAGAUUUAAAGAGGCUAAACCCACGUUACAUUGUAUUUUAGGGCUGGUACUGGUGGGGCAAUGGGCGGCGUUAGAAAGAACGUUGUGACUACAGCACGGAGUUAGCAGUGCUAAGAGAGACCGAGCCAGCAGGGAGGGGCUGCUGUAGUAACGUGGGCAAGGGGUGGAGGGAGAGAGCGUGCUUGAGAAGGCCCCGGGUCAGAUUUGACUUGGACUUCAGGUGCAGGUGUGGUAGGGCAUGUGGAGGGUGGGAGAGGGAAAGAACAGAGGGGCUCUGGGAGUAAAUUGACAGUGACUCCCAGAGGGACCUGGUGUGCAGGCCCCAAAUGUCAGUAAAUUUCCCUGCCAGCCAA